rnacentral:rRNA from 1 species
CCUACGGGUGGCAGCAGUGAGGAAUAUUGGUCAAUGGACGCAAGUCUGAACCAGCCAUGCCGCGUGCAGGAAGACGGCCCUAUGAGUUGUAAACUGCUUUUGUACGAGGGUAAACUCAGAUACGCGUAUAUUUCUGAAAGUAUCGUACGAAUAAGGAUCGGCUAACUCCGUGCCAGCAGCCGCGGUAAUACGGAGGAUUCAAGCGUUAUCCGGAUUUAUUGGGUUUAAAGGGUGCGUAGGCGGUCGGAUAAGUUAGAGGUGAAAUCCCGGGGCUCAACGUCGGAAUUGCCGUUGAUACUGGUCGGCUAGAGAAUAGUUGAGGUAGGCGGAAUGUAUGGUGUAGCGGUGAAAUGCUUAGAGAUCACGCAGAACACCGAUUGCGAAGGCAGCUUACCGGGCUACUACUGACGUUGAGGCACGAAAGCGUGGGGAGCAAACAGGAUUAGAUACCCGAGUAGUC